UACGUAGGGGGCUAGCGUUGUCCGGAAUCAUUGGGCGUAAAGCGCGUGUAGGCGGUCCUGGAAGUCCGCUGUGAAAGUCGGGGGCUCAACCCUCGGAUGCCGGUGGAUACUGUCGGGCUUGAGUACGGAAGAGGCGAGUGGAAUUCCUGGUGUAGCGGUGAAAUGCGCAGAUAUCAGGAGGAACACCAAUUGCGAAGGCAGCUCGCUGGGACGUUACUGACGCUGAGACGCGAAAGCGUGGGGAGCAAACAGG
rnacentral:rRNA from 1 species